GUGUACUUAGCUCAGUUGGUAAGAGCUUUAGUCUUGAAAGUUGAGAUCCCAGGUUUGAUUGCUGGAGUGCACA
rnacentral:tRNA from 1 species